GACGAACGCUGGCGGCGUGCUUAACACAUGCAAGUCGAACGGAAAGGCCUCUUUCUGGGGGUUCUCGAGUGGCGAACGGGUGGGUAACACAUGCGUAACCUGCCCUUCACUUUGGGUUAACUUCAGUCAGCUAGGGCGAGUACCUGCUAGGAGAUCCUUCUGCAUGGUGGGGGUUGGUAAGUUUCGGCGGUUGGGGGUGGACUCGCGACUUAUCAGCUUAUUGUUGGGGUGGUGGCUUACCAAGGCUUUGACGGGUCGCCGGACUGAGAGAGUGAGCGGCCGCACUGGGUCUGAGAGACGGCAGAGAUUGCUACUGGAGGCAGCAGGGGGGAAGAUUGCACAAGCGGUGGAAGGCGGAUGCAGCAACGCCGUGGGUGGGAAGACGGUCUUCGGGGUGUAAAACGCAUGUGCUCAUGACGAAGCUUUGUGUGACGGUAGUGGGUAAAGAAGCACCGGCUAACUACGUG
rnacentral:rRNA from 1 species